UUUCCUGAUGAUCAUUUUCGUAUCAAUAUACGCUGGAAAUUACCGGCUGAGAUUUCUCUUUGACGAUAUUUAAAGGCUAUUUCUGAUU
rnacentral:snoRNA from 1 species